rnacentral:lncRNA from 1 species
AAAAAUGUUAGUUCUUUUCCACCACUGUUUACUCAUUCGUUUUACAACUGCUCAACUUUGUUCUGGUCCAGCAGGACUCUCUUGUACAAGCCCCAACAGCUCCAUGCCCAUCCCUGCCCAGGGUCCAGCCUUGUCUUAGUAAACAUUCAUCUCCCUGACUCAGGCUGCUGCUUAGAAAUUCUGUUUCGGUUGCAGUUCCAUUGUGUGGAGCCAGUACUACAACUUUUCCUCCUGCAUUCAUUUCUCUUCCUGCUGCCUUGUGAAGAAGGUGCCUUGCUUCCCCUUCACCUUCUACGGUGAUUGCAAGUUGCCUGAGGAUUCCCCAGCCAUGUGAAACUAGACUAUGUAAGAAACUGGUGAUAUAACAAGGAAACCAGAGAGACAAAGUGUCUGUUCUCAGGGAAUGGCUUGAACAUAUUAGGACUAAGUAACAUUUUUUCUUUAAGAUCCCAGUGUUCAGAAAAGGAAGAGAGGGAGCUUCCAUGGAGUCCAGAUGAUUUUCAAUCAUCGUGUCUCCUCCUGCACCCCUCAUGGCUGUAAAAUUGGUUAUGCUACUCAAGUUUUGGAACAGCUAAUGGAAGUCAUGUCCUGUGCUCUCUGUUCACAGAGUUUGAGAGAAACUGUAUUCAAGUUGCUGAAACCAAGAAGCUACACUCACGAGUCUCACCUAAACUCGAAUCUGAUUUAGAUGACAUCAUCCUGGACUUUGAGUUGAUGAAACCUUGGAGGUCUUGGGAGUAAAGCAAGUGUGAUUUGCAUAUGAUGGAUAUGAAUUGUAAUGGCCAGAGCAUGGCUGUGAGAUGAAAACUCCCAUUUUAGGGAACCAAGACUGAAUUCCAUAAUUUACAUGGAUGUUUGGAAGGUGUCUGCAACUUAAUCUGUGUUCGUUUCUGAGAUGUUGGGCAACUCCUUCUUGGAAGAUGUGGUAAUGGUCUCUUCGAAAAGAAAAUAAUCAUCUGAGUUUUGGCCAAAAUAGUUGAUCGGAUUACCUAUGAAAAUGACUCUCACCCAACUACAAGAAUGUUAUGAUGUAGAAACUCUAAAUAUAUGAGUAAUUAACUAUACAACACUCCAUCCCCAUGUGAAAAUCUUUAAUCUUUUAAGAUACUGAAAUUUUGUGUAUGUCUCAUAAUUUUCUGUAUAUGGUCAAUGAGUUUUGCCUUAGCCAUAAGUGGUCUGUCUGAAAUCUUCUCUAUUAUUUGUGCAUUUUCUUCCUGAUGUACCAAGCCUAGUCUGUUUGUUUUUUCCUAAGAGAAAAGCAGAUGAUUCAACUGUGUAUUUCUCAGUGUUGAUAUUGUGGUUUGAGGUAUUUCAUAAUCUUGAGUAAAAUCUUGUCAAUUUUAUGCUAUGCCUUGUGGGAACAUAUUUUUACUUUUAAGUCUCUUUGGCAAGUGGAGCUUCCUUUGUGUUUCCUCACCAAAUGUAUUCCCCAUUGUUUUCUGAUUAAUUCUUUUUCAGAAUGUUUACUCCUUCUUACCUCAAUGUCAUUACUUUUCAGUCUUGGCUUUGGGUAAACCUAGGACAAGAAUUGGAUAUCCAAAGCCAAUUUCAAUAUAAAAACUAUAAUAUCUAUCAAAAUCUAUGUAAAAUCCUGUGUAUAUUUCUCUUCUUUGUUGAACAGGGGCUUAUAAUCAUGUAGGUAAAUACACGUGGUUUUGAUUUCAGCACUGAUUACUGAAGAUUUGUCUUCCAUUCUUCUGGGCCAGGCCCAUACACAACCAUAGUUAGAAGUAAAAACUAUUUGUUAUACCUGGAAUGCCUUUCCUUUCAAUCUCUGAAUGUCUAAAAUUACUUUUUCUUUGAAGACCACCUCAGGUGACCCUACUGUGGGGAAAAUGCCUGAAUUAUCUUUGUAAUCCCAGCUCAGCCACUUAAAGAUUGUGUAAGUUUAGUGUCAGCAUAUUACUUAAGUUCUUUUAGAUUUAGUUUCCUCAUAUGUAAGCUGGGGAUAAUAAUACCUACCUCAUAGAAAAUGAAUGAGAAUCAAGUUAUAUAAUAUAUGAACAACACUUGACACUGUGUGUGAACACUCAAUACAUGUAAAUCAUUAUUAUUAGCAAAAUGAUUAUUAGGUUCUCAUGCUAAUCCACAAUUUUUAUUGGCAGAUAUCCAUUAGUUUAUAGUUAAUGUUAUUCAUAAUCUUUUCUUCAUAUUCAAAUAGGAAGAGAUGACUUCUCAAUCUAGUUAAUCCUGGAUGUGUAUUUCUCUUAAUUUAUUGAGUGUAAAAUGCUUAUUUAUAUACAUACAAUUUCCCUUAUUAGUGAACAUCUAGAAGGCAGAAUGGUACUUCAUUUCUUUCUGUAUGUUUAGCACCAAGGACAGUACCUGGCACAUAGAAGAUACAUAUUAAAAACAAAUAAAACAACUCUUAAUGGAUCUCAUUUUAAAAAAAUUCUCGGUUAAUUAUAAAGGCUCUAGUAAACCAAAUAAUUGUAUGUUAACUUAUUUACUUUUAUUACUGUGUUUAUUUUCUCCAACUGCUUCAUCAUACAAAGUAAACACCUGAAUGUAAGCUGCAUGAGGGCAAGAGCUGUGUCUUGUUUACUGCUCUCAAGAACAUUUGAGCAAAGUGCCUGGCACAUGGCAGACACUCAAUAAGUUACAAUUAAUACUCAAUGUAUGAACUGAUCUAUACUUAGAAUUGACUAAGAAGAAUAAGUCUUACACAGACUCAGUCUCUGAGAACUUGAAAAUCUAAGUUUGCAUAUCUCUGCUGUUGUGUUUUCAGGUUACUCAGUAGAAAACCAAGUUAUUUACACAUCCUCAAGUGUCUCAAGGUUAAAUCUUCCAUGCAUAAAAUAUCUGGGCGAUUGAUUGUGUUUCUUACUUUGCUCCUAAGUAUGUUAGCAUCAUAUAGGCAUAGCCUAAGCCAGACCAAAAUGAAUUCAUUGAUUGACUCAACAAAUGUUUAUGGAUCUCAGAUAUUAUAUGGAGAUGGUGUCAAACAACGGGAUGUGCUAUGGAAUUUGAUGUGGAGGCUGAAGGAAAGAGGAAUCUAGGCGGACUCACAGAUUUUUUGGCUUGAGUAACUUGGACAUUAUGGUGAGUUAUUGAACGGAAGUCUAGGGAUUGUUCAACCCCUGAAAACAGACCACAUCCCAUUGCAGGAGGAAAUUUGG